rnacentral:lncRNA from 1 species
GUUAUGUUUGCAAAUUUUCAUAAUAAAAUGCUGGAGCGGGAGAAGAAAAAAAAGUACCUAACGGCAAGAUUCUUGGGACUGGAUGGGGAGAGAGAAGAUGCAAAAUUUUAAGAACACGUGACACUGUGGCAUUGAAGAGAGAAUAAUUCCAGACUCAUAACAGCUACGACUGAGAGACUGUGUACCCCUGGGAACUGCUAAGCAGAGCCACCAGGCCCCACAUUAUUUGUCCUGGGCCUCGUUAAAGGAAACAUCCCUUCUGUGAGCCACAAACACAAGAUGUUCCUGCAGAGAAGCCAAUGUUCUUCAUGAAACUAGGGUCACUGCUAAGAACACCUGGGCAGAGGGACAGGUACAGCUGUGUUACAGCUUCCAUUCCUUUCGAUUCAGUGUGAACUCAUCAAAUUAUAAUUUAAUUUAACAUAUUGGUCUAGUAGUUGUGGUUAAAAUGACACAGACAAUGGGGAAACUUUAUGCUUCUGGAAGGACAGGUGCCCAUGGGACAGGGGUCCCUUCUUUUUAGACGGGUUGACCUAAGGCAUGUCCAAGGUCAGACCCUCCAUGGUGAAAGGGGAGGGGAGGGACUGAGCACAGAACAAGCCCAGCUUCUUCCCCACCUUCUCGCUGCCCUUAACCUCCUCUCCCCCUCUCCGCUGAUCUCCAUUCUGUACACCUGACCUUGCAAACUCAGUUUUAAGACCCAGGAAUUUCCCAUCUGUCGUGGCUCAGCGUAUCCACAGGGAUGCAGGUUCAAUCCCUGGCCUCGCUCAGGGGGUUAAGGAUCCAGUGUUGCCGUGGGCUAUGGUGCAGGUCACAGACAUGACUCAGAUCAAGCGUUGCUGUGACUGCGGCGUAGGCCGGCAGCCGCAGCUCUGAUUCGACCCCCUAGCCUGGGAACUUCCAUAUGCCACAGGAGUGGCCCUAAAAAAAAGGCAAACAAACCAAAAACAAAAUUCCCAUUGUCUGUGAUUUCUCUAUGGAUUUUCCCAGGGCAGUCAACCAGAUCACAGCAGAAGUGGUAACCCUGCUUCCCGAGAAAGAGCCACUGGGAGGUGCAUGCUGCUGCUAACAGGCUGUUCGUGUGUUCAACACGAAUGCUUUGAAAAUUAAGACUAUCUUGACUUUCUGCCUAGGUUUUACCACGUUUUAUCACAUUGCUACAUGCCAGACUGACUCGACCUCCUCCCACAGCAGAAGACUCCCUGAGUAAGAACCACAUUCUCCGCUGCAUAAUGAACUGAGGCUCUGUGUGUGUGUGUGAGCCCCUUGACCCACGGUGGGUGCUCAGGAAAUGGGCCCCCACGCACAGGCCGAGCAUCUGCCGUAUGCUGAGUACUUUAUACACUUUAUCCCAUGGAUUCUUCACAGCAGCCCUUCCUGUUUGUGCCGUGAAUGGUCCCCACCUCCCAGGAAACCAAGGCUUGGAGAGAUUAAAUGGCUGGUCCCGGACCCCACAGCCCACAGGUGUCACAGCAGGACUCCUGCUCAGGUCUGUGGGACCCUGGACCACACCACUAACUCCACCCGGAAUUACUUUACAAUUAAUUAUAAGACGUGGGUCUACCCAUCUUCUGGUUUUCUCAGUGACCCUGAGGCCCAAGUAAGGGCUCCGCUAAGUGUCUAUUUUAGUGACUGAGAUAACGGAAGCUUACAUGACCAAGCCUGAGCCCUCGCACCCCAGUCCCAUGCUCCUUCCCGUGGGGCCUGACCCACUGGGCUGAAGCUGUUCUCUUCCCUUCCUCAGCCCAGUAUCCCUGGUCCAGCAGCGUGAGCCCAGAGACCCCACUGCAGGCCCAGAGCUGGGGAACCCAGGCCGGUCCUGUGCACAAGGCCUUGGCCAGGCCGGACAAGCCACUGGGCUGGGCUCAUGUUCAUUCCACUCUGAGUCAGCAGCUAAAAAAGGCUGCUAAUCUUUAAUUCAGGGAUGUUAUUUUUCUAUUACAGAAAUUUCAGCCAAACUAAUGGUUUCACACUAUAUCAGGAACCUCAGAAGCGCCAGCAGGAUAAUCCAGACAUGGACUCAUUUAACCUCACUCUCCAAAGUGGAAAGUGGGCCUUGUCAUCCCAGGCCAGUCCCCGGGGGUGCAUACUGGAGGGUGGCUGUCAGCUCCCCUAGCCACGGGGAGCCCCAGGGGGGAGGAAGCAACAGGCUUGGGAGGAAGCAACAGGCUAUGGUCUGUGGGAACCACACUCAGUGGGUUAACUCGGACCGGGAUCCCCAGCCCUCAGCCACACUGCCCGGGUUGUUCCCAGGAGCCUGUUUAAAACGUCUGAGGCCUACUGGGGUUCCCAUUGUGGCUUAGCAGUUAUGAACCUGACUAGUAUCCAUAAGGAUGUGGGUUUGAUCCCUGGCCUCACUCAGUGGGUUAACAAUCUGGUGUUGCUGUGCAUUGCAGCACAGGUCACAGAUGUGGCUUGAAUUCUGGCGUGGCUGUAGUGUAGGCCAGUAGCUGCAGCUCCAGGUCUACCUCUAGCCUGAGAACUUCCAUAUGUCACAGGUACAGCCCUAAAAAGCAAAAACAGACAAAAAAUAAAACAAACCAAAACAACCCCCCCCCAAAAAAAAGUCUGAGGCCUAGGAAACUGCUGUGACCCUCCAGGGACAGAGGCUGGGCACCCCCUCACCUGUCCCCAAUCCUCCCAGAAGCCACCCUGAGGCUUGAGCAUCCAGACCAGGAUCAGAAGGCCAGGGAGAGGCAGCCAGCACCCUAAGGCCCUGGGCUCAGGUCCUCAGCCAGCCUGGGCCUCAGGCAGGGAGUGGGGGAGGCUCCCUGGGCAACCGCUGGGGUCAGGAAGGCGAGGUUCCAGCCACUUGCAGGUCGAGGCAGAAACACAGAAGCCUUCCCUCCCAAUGCUCACAGAUGCACAUUUUAAAAUACAGCCUGGGGUUUCUCAGGGCAAGAAAUCUUAGAAACAAAUCCCCUGAGAUGGUGUCUCGAAUGACCGACCAUGUGUCUCACGAGAAACGCUAAGUGGACAGGAGCCCAUGGCAAGGCCGGCCUGGUGCUCACGUGUGGCUGACACCCUCCCUCUGGUUGUGAGUUUGUCAAUUUGUCGAGGACAGGAGGAGAUGAGGUCCAACUGGCUUACAGGCGCAGCCACCCUCCCCGCAGCCAGCGGUCCGGAGCGAGCAGCCCAGGCAUGGAGGGUCUCAGCCUCAGUCUCAGCCUUGGCGGCACCAUCAGGAACUUUCCAACCACUCAUGUCUGGCUCCAAACACCUCAGCUGUCCUGGCCCAAGGGGAGGGGGGUGCUGGGCUGAAAAUCUCCCCAGGGUUCCUCACACUAGGGUGCCCCCAACAUGCCCCUGGGAGCCUGCGAAACCCCGAUGACUGGGUCCCCUUCCCAGAGGCUCUGCCCUGCAGGUCUCAGGUGGGGCCUUGGAAUGUGCAUUUCCAACAAGCUCCUGGGGGCCACUGCUGGUGCUGAUCCCACCCCUGAGAACACUUAGAUGAGGGCAGGGCCCUGCCUUCCUGGGGACCCCAGUAUGCAAAUGGGACUUCAGGUGGACCCCAGACACAAACAAGGUGAGAGGACACAGCCCAGCCUUGUGACCAGAAAAGCCGGGAAAUGUGAGUGCUGGGCCUCGCUCUGUUGCCAUCCAGAGGCGGACCCUGGAGAUACCCCUUCCCCCGCUGCAGACCCCAGUCCUGGCAUCACCAGUGGAACAAAAUAAAUUCAAGUAAAGAAUCCCCAGUCACCCCAGGUAUACUGCUACUCCAGAAACAGCUAAGAAGGGCUGGGGACCAGGCCAGAAUGAACCCCACAGGGCUGGAGACGCGCCCAGGGCCCCUUUGCUCCUUGGCCACAAGGAAGAAGUGGCCAUCGUUGUCACAGGUCAGGAGAGGGAGCCCAGGGGUGCAGGGGGCCAGGAAGUGGCUGCCACUUGAGAUGACCCCUCCCCAGUGGGUGUUCCCAGCACCCCCACUUCCAUGGCCCGUGGUCGCCACACACAGGUGUGCUCACUGCUCACGGCUCCGUGGGAGCCUGAAAUUCAAAGUCUGGGGACACUGCCCCCAGGUGCUCACCUGUGGCCAAUGGCACAUGGAUGCAUGUGCCAUCCUCUGUUCCCAAAGGGAAGUAAGUCCAAGAUGUAAGGAAGACCGGACAGGUGGCCUGGCCACCAGACCCCCCGGAACAAGGGGUUAGCCCAGACCAGUGGCUUUCAAGCAUUUUUAGAGGAUGAACCUUUCUUCUUCUUUUUAAUAGAUCCCUAGCACAUGGUCGACCAGUGCUGAGGUUCUGACUGUGUGUCUCUGUGUGGGGGUGAGAGUGGGGAGGGAGGGGUCCCUGAGUCCCAGACAGCCCCCCACCCCCGCCACCAGGGGUGUGGUACAAUGGAAUACCCUUCAGCCAUAGACAAGAAUGACAUAAUGCCACAUGCAGCAGCAUGUAUGCAACUAGAGAUGCUCACACGCACUUGUAUGUGGAAUCUGAAAAAAUGAUGCAGAUGAAUUUGUUUACAAAACAGAAACAGACUUGCAGAGAACAAAUUUAUGGUUACCAAAGGGGACAGAGGGGAGGGGAGGAAUAAGACAGGAGUUUGGGAUUAUAUGCACACCACUAUACAUAAAACAGAUAACCAACAAGGACCUAUCGUAUAGCACAGAGAACUCUACUCACUAUCUUGUAAUAACCUAUAAUGGAGAAGAAUCUGAAAAAUAUAUAUACACAUGUAUGUAUACACACACACAAAUAUAUACACAUGACUGAAUCACUUUCCUGUAUACCUGAAAUUAACACAACAUUGUGAAUCAACUAUACAUCAAUCAAUAAAUACAUAAAUAAAUUUUUUAAAAAAUAAAGUAUUGACUACGGUACUAGUUUUAAUAUGGCACAGGCCCCAUCUCAGGGAAGGUCAGGGAGAGCAGAGAGGGAGGCAGGACGUCUUUCUCCCCUCAGCCUCCCCUCCAGGCCUGGCACCUGUCCCAGGGUCUACGGCAGGGCCAGCAGCAGCAAACGUUUCCUGGAAAAGGGCCACAGAGUAAAAAAUUUAGGUCGUGCAGGUCCUGUGGCCUGUAUUGCAACUAUUCAACUCUGCCUUCAAAGAGCAAGAGCAGCCAUGUGUGGCUGUGUGUGGCUGUGUUCCAAUAAAACUUUAUUUAUAAAAACCGCCGACAGACCGGGUUUAGUGGAGGCCCCCAGUUUUGCUGAGCCCUGGCAUAGGGAAAAACGCUGUGGGGUCCGCAACCCUAAGAUUCUUUCCACAUUUAUGACAAUGAAUUCUCAAUUCUUAAACUCUACUUGCCAGAGUCUUGGUCUAACCUAUCAAGAAUACACUCAUUCCUGAACUUCACGGAUUUUUGUUCCAAGAACCAAAAAUGUUCUGAUGAGCUAAUGAAUGUGAAAAAUGCUUUGAAAAGCCUAAGCUUUGCAAACGGGCAGACCCACCAAAGCCUCUAAGAGCAGAGCUUACCAUCCUUUACCUGUGUUUCAGGAAGAUUCCAGGCAGUGGGUUAUGUCCGCCUGGGCUGCUUUUAAAGAACGGGGUUUAAAGAAUGCUGCAGUAAAAAGGGCCUAAAGGGACAACAAAGUUGGAAGAAAUGAAUAGUGUCUGGUCCUUGUCUCCUGGAGCCUGAAACUUUUAAACUCUCCAUAGAAAAUCCCACACUCCCCAUUUCAUCCUGUUUGUCUACGCAGCGGCAUCUUAGGCCAGGAAACGGCAUUAGUCAGGAGGCUCCUGGUUAAUCCCUGGAUACGUCUCCUUUGCGCAGCUGUGAAAAUGCUGCAUUGUUAUUUAACUGCACUGAACCGCUCUCCAUCCUUUAAACUGUCUUCAUAAUCACACCGUGACCUAAGGUGCCCUGGCGUGGUGAAGUCCCUGUGAAUGGCUGCCAUCCGUCUACCCUCCAUCGUCCUUCUGGCAGAAAGAAAUCGUAGCCACAAUUUAGUAAGCACCUACUGUGGCUGAGCUUUUGCUANUUUUUUUUUUUUUUUUUUGGUCUUUUUGGCUUUUCUAGAGCCGCACCCACGGCAUACGGAGGUUCCCAGGCAAGGGGUCUAAUCGGAGCUGUAGCUGCUGGCCUACACCACAGCCACAGCAACGCCAGAUCUGAGCCAAGUCUGCAACCUACACCACAGCUCAUGGCAACACCGGAUCCUUAACCCACUGGGCAAGGCCAGGGAUCGAACCCUCAACCUCAUGAUUCCUGGUCAGAUUCGUUAACCACUGAGCUACGACAGGAACUCUGAGGUUUUGCUGUUUCAUGAAGCUUACUUCACCUCAUGACAACCACAACUCUGAGACGUGGGCCUCUCAAUCUGCAUUUUACAGACGGUGGAGAUGAGGUUCAAAGAAUUUAGAAAACACCUGCCAAUGCACAGGUCGAAAAUGACGGAACUGCGAUUGAGGAUUUACCCUGGAACCCAAGCUCUUGCCACGUUAUCAUCAAUGACUUCAUGUAUCUCAUCUGUUAUUUUUCCUAGCCUCCUUGUAUUGACAAAGAAAAGACGAAAUCCUGCAAACAGAUACAAGGGGGACAAUUUCUUCCUCACUUGUGAUCCUCUGAAGGUGAAAAAAGAACUGUCACCUGGCCAGGUAAGAAUCAUGAAAGUUCACCCAAGAGCUAAGCUAGUCUCAGAUGGCAUUAAGUUUGGGUUAUGAUUUUUCUACACAGAGAGUAUAUUGCUUUUGAAAGGAAAAUUGAGAUGUUUGUUUUUUCAAUAAGCAACAAGUCUGGAGUAGGGGGAACCUGCUUUCUCUUCUUGCAGGGCCCUGGGCUAACAUCCACGUCCCAGCCUCCCUUGCAGUUAGAGGUGGUCGUGUGACUGAGCCCUGACCAACAGAACAUGAGCAAGAAUGAGGGUCUGGGCCCUAAAAUUCAGCUUGUACAACCCCCCUUGCUCAUUUCCCUUAGAGCAAAGCAGCACAGUGACCUUGGAAACCAAGCGGGAGGACAAAGAAGCCUCAAAAUAGAAAGUUCCACAGUCCAUGGACCACCUCUUACAGCAGGGCCACCGCAGACCAGAACUUUACAUGAGAAAGAACUUUGUUUUGGAGUUCCCAUUGUGGCCAGUGGUUUAAUGGUCUGGCUUGUCUCUGUGGCAUUGCCGAUUUGAUUCCCCAGCCCGGAGUAGUGAGUUAAGGCUCUGGUGUAGCCGCAGCUGUGGCACAGGUCUCAGAUGCAGCUCAGAUUCGAUUCCUGGCCUGGUGGUCCCAGAACUUCCAUGCGUCAUGGGUGCAGGGGGAAAACAAUAAAAAGAGGAAAGAAACUUCUUUUGUGUUAAACUCCCAAGUCUGAAGGACUUGUUACUGCAGCUACUAUUAUCCUAAUCCAGUAACGACUAUGACACAAAUUAAAUAGCAAUUACAAUGAGUUAAAAUUCUAAGUUGUUCCACUUAAGAACGUAAACAGCGAUUAUUUGAAUCAUGAAAAUUAGAGAAAAGUUAAUGGAAGUUAUGUAAACUAGAACAAUAAAGUAUAUCUUUCAAGACUCUAAAAAAAAAAUCUUAGUUGUUUCCCAGGUUCGAACCCAGGGAUAAAACGCUGAGGUGAUUGAAAAUUAUCAUUCUUCAUAUUUUGGAUAUAUUAAAUACAGUAUUCAAAUUCCCUUCACCUGUUUCUUUUUAUGUUUCUACUGUAGCUACCAGGAAUUCCAAAGUCACAUCCGUAGCUCACAGUGCAUUUCUACAAGACAAUGCUGCCCCAGAUCGUGAAAACAUCAGAUUUUCUGGAUAAUUACUGAUACACAUUGAGUAUCCAUGCAUGACAGGUGGGAGCCCUGCUCUGCUUCUGGAAAAGCCCUGUGACCUCAGGAAGGUCACUCGUGCCCCCUGGAUCUCAUUUUUUUCAUGUAAAUCCUGAGCGCUUUGGACCUUCCAUUCUUUGUAGACUGGUCAUGCCCAGCCACAUGGUAUUAAACCAGCUGAUCCCAGCAUCCCCUUUGCUCAAGACCUGCACCCUGAACCAGUCUGCCCUGCCAGUCCUGGCCUGGUCUCCAGUUCCUGUUCAUGGUUCAUACGCACCCUUGGACUAAGCCUGUACUCUUUUUUCAUCCAGAUCUCUGACUUCCCUCCUCUAUGACAGCUCACAUUGGACUCUUGGAUGAUAUGGUUUCUGGCCAUUCCGGUAAACACACAACCUGAUCUAAUAAACACUCCAGCACAGCCCCGUGGGGUCAGUGUCCAUCAGCCUCACUUCUGUCCUGCAACCCAGGCUCAGGGUAGCUUCCCCACCGCCAGAGCCCUCAGACCCAACAAGCCUGGCAGAGGGAGGGAGCAGAGCCCUUUAUCAGAAAAGAAUGCAGAGACCUCAGAGCCCAGCCCAGGCCAAAGGCUAUCAUUUGAAGUAGCUUCCUUCUUUCAAAGUUUCUGAGGAAAAGCUUAUUUCCUUGAAAUAGCAAAGAACUGAAAACCAAAAGAUGAGAGGUUUUCUUUCUUUCUUUUUUUUUUUCUGGAGAUAGACAGCAAAGUGUACCAGUAAAUAGUACCAAGAAUUCAUUUCUGCUACAGUUGUCCACCACCCCCAAUAUUGCAUUUAGUUAACUUAAUUUUCUGGGGAUCGAAUUGAUUCGAAGUUAAAUUUCUCUUAAUAGGUCAUCUGAGUAAACAGUUUCGGGUCUAUGCCAAAAGACGACGUUUCCAGGCUCGAGAUGAAAUCGGCAGUGUCAGGCUAAGAAAACAACCUUAAAAAUUCACAGAGGGCUGGAACAAUUGCAGAAAAAUUAGAGCCCGGGGCUCAGUCUUUUUCACGCAGAUUUAGAAGAAAAAAUUACAAAUUUCCACCAACACCAAAAAAAAAAAAAAAA